AAGUAACUUAAACAAAGUAUUCAACCUACAAUUGAACAAUAUUAGCCACAAACCUAAUCUUUACGAG
rnacentral:tRNA from 1 species